CCUACGGGUGGCAGCAGUGAGGAAUAUUGGUCAAUGGACGAGAGUCUGAACCAGCCAAGUAGCGUGAAGGCUGACUGCCCUAUGGGUUAUAAACUUCUUUUAUAAAGGAAUAAAACGAGGCACGUGUGCCUUUUUGCAUGUACUUUAUGAAUAAGGAUCGGCUAACUCCGUGCCAGCAGCCGCGGUAAUACGGAGGAUCCGAGCGUUAUCCGGCUUGAUUGGGUUUAAAGGGAGCGUAGAUGGGUUGUUAAGUCAGUUGUGAAAGUUUGCGGCUCAACCGUAAAAUUGCAAUUGAUACUGGCAGUCUUGAGUACAGUUGAGGUAGGGGGAAUUCGUGGUGUAGCGGUGAAAUGCUUAGAUAUCACGAAGAACCCCGAUUGCGAAGGCAGCUUACUAAACUGUGACUGACAUUGAUGCUCGAAAGUGUGGGUAUCAAACAGGAUUAGAUACCCCAGUAGUC
rnacentral:rRNA from 1 species